GGGGGCGUGGUGUAGCGGUUAGCAUAUCGGCCUGUCAAGCCGGAGGUCGCGGGUUCAAAUCCCGUCGCUCCCG
rnacentral:tRNA from 1 species